rnacentral:rRNA from 1 species
UACGUAGGGUGCGAGCGUUAAUCGGAAUUACUGGGCGUAAAGUGUGCGCAGGCGGCGCCGCAAGUCGAGUGUGAAAGCCCCGGGCUUAACUUGGGAAUUGCGCUCGAAACUAUGGUGCUGGAGUGUGGCAGAGGAAGGUGGAAUUCCACGUGUAGCGGUGAAAUGCGUAGAGAUGUGGAGGAACACCGAUGGCGAAGGCAGCCUUCUGGGCCAACACUGACGCUGAGGCGCGAAAGCCAGGGGAGCGAACGGG